ACUCCUACGGGAGGCAGCAGUAGGGAAUCUUCCACAAUGGGCGCAAGCCUGAUGGAGCAACACCGCGUGAGUGAAGAAGGGUUUCGGCUCGUAAAGCUCUGUUGUUAAAGAAGAACACGUAUGAGAGUAACUGUUCAUACGUUGACGGUAUUUAACCAGAAAGUCACGGCUAACUACGUGCCAGCAGCCGCGGUAAUACGUAGGUGGCAAGCGUUAUCCGGAUUUAUUGGGCGUAAAGAGAGUGCAGGCGGUUUUCUAAGUCUGAUGUGAAAGCCUUCGGCUUAACCGGGAGAAGUGCAUCGGAAACUGGAUAACUUGAGUGCAGAAGAGGGUAGUGGAACUCCAUGUGUAGCGGUGGAAUGCGUAGAUAUAUGGAAGAACACCAGUGGCGAAGGCGGCUACCUGGUCUGUAACUGACGCUGAGGUUCGAAAGCGUGGGGUAGCGAAACAGGAUUAGAUACCCU
rnacentral:rRNA from 1 species